AGUCUACAAACAUACUCCUGGACAACAGUUACACGGCAAAAGUGUCAGAUUUUGGCACUUCUAGGUUAAUUCCGUUGGAUCAAGUUGAAUUGUCAACGAUGGUGCGAGGUACUCUAGGAUACUUAGACCCUGAGUACUUGCACACAAGCCAACUGACGGACAAGAGUGAUGUUUACAGUUUUGGAGUGGUUCUUGUGGAACUACUAACUGGGAUGAAGGCAAUUUCCUUCCAUAAGCCUGAGGGGGAGAGGAAUUUAUCAUCGUAUUUUCUUUGUGCACUGAAAGAAGAUCGCCUGGUCCAUAUUCUUCAGGAUAGCAUGGUGAACCAGGAUAAUAUCAGGCAGCUGAAGGGAGUUGCCGACAUUGCAAAGAAGUGCUUAAGAGUAAAAGGAGAGGAAAGACCCAACAUGAAGAAUGUAGCAAUGGAAUUAGAGGGGCUAAGAACAUCUGCAAAACAUCCUUGGACUAAUGACGAAUCAGAUGUAGAAGAGACAGAGGACUUGCUUGGAGAAUCAGUGGAAACUGUUCGUUCUGAGGAAAUGGCUGGUACAAGUGCUGGAUAUCACGGUUUAUAUUUAAUGCAAUCACAAGGAGAUGGCAGAUGAACAUUUUAUUCUAGUGUCACAGCUUCGCUUGAUAGUUUGCUUUGAAUAAUAGCUUGCGCCAAGGCAAUGCUUUUCUUUUCUAUAUUACAGUCCAGUUCUUUUCUAUGUAAUUUUAUAAGAGAAAGAAUUUCUGAUGACAGUAUGUACAAUAUUCAACCCGCAUUGAAACUCUUUAUCCUAUCUCCAUUCUGCAAUGUAAUAUUCCAGGCGAUCUCCUUCUGAAAGCAAAAAAAUUGCUUGACAAACAUUCCGGUGUAUGCCAUUUCCUAAACAGGCAAAAUCUGUUAGUUACCCAUGCUCAUUGACAAGGACUGCGAUUAUAUGUCUCUGGGAAGGAAAUUUUUAUCGUCCACUCGACAUAGCAUAACAUAUUUGAAACGUUGUGAUUAUUUUUUAAAAUAUUUUUAAUUUAUAAAUAUAUUAAAAUAAUUUUUAUUUUUAAAAAUUAUUUUUGAUACCAGCACAUCAAAAUAAUCUAAAAAUAUAUAAAAAAAAUAUUAAUUUUAAAAAAAUAAAAAUAAAUAAAUAUUUUAAAAAAAUAUUUUUGAAAUAAAAAAUAAAUAAGCUGACAACAAAAAAAGAAAUUAGUAAAGGCACAACCAUUAUUUAGCUUUUCUUGUCGAUGAAAACUAAAAAAAAAUCUUACGUUGAUCAUGAUAAUUCUUAAUAAAGAAAUUGAUUCCACAUUUUUAUAAAAGAUCAAGACCGCUCUAACCCGAACUUAUUGGAUACCUAAGUAUGCAUAUUGUCAAGGAUGAUUCAUCUCAAAAUAUAAUUUUUCUAUCAUAUAUAAUAUAUAAUAUUUAUUAUUUAAUUAUUUAAUUUAUUUAUAUGUUUAUUGCUAGGUGUGUGUGUAUAUUACUUUUGGUAUUUAGUAAUGAAUAUUUGAAUAAAUAUCUUAAACUCGAUGUAUAACCCAAUAAAUAAUAGAUAAAAUAUGAAUAUAGCAUAAACUCAAACUCUUGAAUACUCAUUAUCAUCUCUCUCGAAAUUAUUUAACAUUUUUAUAUCUAAUCUUAAAUAAGAUAAUUUAAAAAAUGAAAUGAAAUGCUCAGUUACCUAAAUUGAAGGCAAGUUAUUGGAACUUUAUUGGGAAGCAAAGAGUUAUAGAUUAAAACCCAAUUUAUGCCCAUAAUCAAAUAUACUAAAUUUAGACCUUAGGUCCAAAACCACCUUGUCAAUUCAAAGAUAAUAAAAUUAAAGUUUAAAAACCAUUAAAAGAAUCCAAAAUAAUGAGGACAUGAGCUCUAUGUCCAUGUGCAUCUAUCACAUCAUGUGUUUAAAAAUAAAAUUGAACCUAAGGCUCGACCUCUAUUACCCCCCGUAAAAGAUUUCAAGAAGAAAUUUAUUAAUGGCAUAACAAAAAAAAAAAUCAAAUAAUAAUAAUACCAAAAAAUAUAGAAAAAAUAAAAAAUCUUAUAAAACAUCUUCCUCCUUGCUUCCCAAAGCAAUCUUUAAGUUAGUGUUAAAUCUUUUUUUAAUAUUUUCUAGUAUAUAUAAUUCUAGAUUUAUUAUAUUAAAUAUGGUAUCAAUAUUUUAGCUCAAAACUAAAGUUUUUUUUUUUUUAAUAAUCCGGGAUGUUCGGGUUAACUUGCGCACACCACAACUAAUCCACGAGAUCUACUGAACAUCCUACAAGCCCAAUAAACAUGUAAGGCACCGCGAGGAUGACAUAUGUGCACAAUAAAAUUCAAAUCCAUGUGCAGUGGAAGGGAACAAGUUUCUUCCACCACUGGACCACAUCCCUCAGUGCAAAAAUAACUAAAGUUUUUCUUGAUCUAUACAACACUCCAUCUAGUAUGAAUAAUAUGUAUUGUUAUUUUUUUUUAUUUGAUAAAAUAUUUGAAAUGAUGAUUAAAAAAAAUACCUGCUACUAUAUUAGAUCAAAUCAGUCAACCAUAAUAUAUAUUAAAAAAAAAAUUAAUAUGGCUUGUUCGACUUUCGGGGCAAGAGCAAACUAAUUACCUCAUUUAAAUGGCAAUAUAAUUAAAAACAAAUCCACUCCAUCAUUGUUUUAACAUCUACCUAGCUCUAGCUUAAAUAUGAAAUAAUAAAUUGUCAAAACAUUAAAUCAUAAAAAAAAAAAUUAGAAAGUAAAAUGAAAAGAUGGCAACAUAUUGUAUUGAUCUGGAUUAACAUGUGAAAUUUACAACCAAUAUAAUAGACACAAUCAUAAUAAAUGAAUCUGGUUGGACAAUUUAUAUUUUUUUUUCUUCUUUUAUUCUCUUCCUGAUUGAGUCUUAAUAUAUCUCAAGUUAGAUUAACUCUGGAGUCUGUUGGUAAAACUUUGAUAAACUUUAUUUUGAAGAAUGAUACAUCUGCUCGCAGAAAUUCAAGAUAUACUUGCCUCGUUGUGAUCAUGUUGAAUGAACAUCCAAAUUACAAGAGAUGUUAAUUACAUAAAAGAAAAUCUACAAAAAUGCUACAGUAAGUUAUUUCUCUGCAUUACAUGAUCCAUGCUUCUCUGGUAACAAAACCAAGCUCACUUGUGAAGUCGAAACUCCUGAAAAGAGUUUUAUUGAUUGCAAAACAUCCUUGGACUAAUGACGAAUCAUAUGUAGAAGAGACAGAGGACUUGCUUGGAGAAUCAGUGGAAACUGUUCGUUCUGAGGAAAUGGCUGGUACAAGUGCUGGAUAUCACAGUUUAUAUUUAAUGCAAUCACAAGGAGAUGGCAGAUGAACUUUUUAUUCUAGUGUCACAGCUUCGCUUGAUAGUUUGCUUUUUAUAAUAGCUUGCGAGCAGUGUAUGGUAAUGCUUUUAUUUUCUAUAUUUCAGUCCAGUUCUGUUUUUGUUAUAGUGGUCCUGUAAUUUUAAAAGACGAAGAAUUUCUGACAGUAUGUGCAAUACUCAACCCGCAUUGAAACUCUUUAUCCUAUCUCCAUUCUGGUGUAUGCCAUGCUCGUUGACAAGGACUUCGAUUGCAUGUCUCUGGGAAGGAAAUUUUUAUCGUCGCCCCGACAUUUAGACAACCACAAAAAAAGAAAUCCGGAAAGGCACAAUCAUUAUUCAAUUUUUAUAUUUUUUUAUCUAAUCUUGACGCAGCAGUAAACAGUGAAGGAAUACGACCAACGUCAAUAUUCUGUAAAAUUGUAUAAACAAGAGAAACUCUCAGAAAACUCAAAGGUUUUUAUUCAAUAAUUAUUAGCUGCCACCUCCAGAGGCUUUGCAAUGAUAUUUAAAGCAAAAUUCUACCCUAACCCAUGACGGAUAAGGAAACGACACAAAACAUUAAAUUUACCAAAAAUGACAAAUUUGAGAUAAAUGCAGAAUAUGAAAGGCCUAUAAAUCCUGAGCAAACAAGAAUUGACGGAAGUCAAUUCGGACUCUGGAAUCAAAAGUUAUGGCCAAAACAAAACUUUCCUAAAAUGACAAAAAUGACGAUUUCGGGGACGAAACGAUGGAAUUUGGCCAAAAACCGGUGGACAUCAGGGGCAUAGCCGCUGACUUCAUCCGCAAAUGGCGAAACGCUUUGACUCGGUGAGUUUCGCGGCAUUCCAACAUCAACGCCCCGGCUGCCGAAAUUCAGUUGCCUUUGAAUUUCGGGUGAUCCCUUUUGAGCAUGUAUUCUUCCGUUAUUUGUUCUACAUCAAAUCUUAAGCUACAAAACUGUAUAACAAAUUCAGUUCGAUACUGCAAUUGUUGAGGUAUAGAUUUGGACUUUUAUUUUGACCAAACCAUAAAAUUCAUGUCUUUUAAGUAAUGCAUUUCUCAGGUAAUGAAAUCACCAAUUAAAUCUCAGGAGUCCAGGGAUAGCUAAUGGAUUAAAUUAGAGGCAUAUCGAAGAUAUAAUAAAUACACCCAUCAGUAGGAAUCAUCAAAAGCAGCAAUCACAAUCAAAUAGGCAGAGAAAGGCACCCCCACCACUGCUCUUGUUAAAACCCAAUUCCUCUUGUGUAUAUACUCAUUAUAUCCGCGCAAGUCAAAUAAUUUGUUUUUUACAAAAGAAAUUAAAUAUACAAGCUUUUAAAUUUUGUUUUUUUUUAUCCUAAUUAUAAAUAAAAAAACCUAUACAUUCACUUAAUUAAAUACAUUAAAAACUACAUGUGCCAAUAAAUAUAUAAAAAAAAUAAAAUCUUAACAUGUUUAUUCAACUCGCCUCACUACAAGUUAAAUAAUUUUUUUUUUCUAAUAUAAAAGAAUUAAUAUGUAGGUGUUAUUAACAAAUCUUUUUACAUCGAGUAAAAAAUAUAACCGUAAAUCAAAAACCUGAUGACCACAUGUGUCAUCGCAACAUAGAAAGGAAAUGUUAAGACGAUUCAAACUCUACCGUGAAAGAUGAUAUUUGAUUAUUGGAAGGCUUCUCAAUCGAGGAUGCGUGCAAUAUAGUUGUUUGAUAUUUUUUUUAAUAAUAUUUAUAUUUAUUAAAUUAUUAAAUAACUUCUAAGUCAACCUAGAUAUUUUAUUGUUUCAAUCUUGGUGUAAAAUGAAUGAUGGAUGAUUUUUAGUUUUUUCUUAAGUAUUUAAUUCUCAGUUAUAUUAUGCUCUGGUUUAUGCAAUUUAAUUUACUAGUAGUUUUAGUUUUUAGGAUAAAACCAUUAUUCAAUUAACUUCCCUAAAGAAAGAGAGAUUGACAGAUCUCAAAUACAAGAAAAAAUAAAUAAAUUUAAGUGGCAUGUUAUUUCCGAACCGGAAUAUAUUGGAAGAUCCUCUCCAACGGCUCAAAUAUAAUGAGAGCCACCAUAUCAUCAUACGUUGUUAACAAUCCCGUGAAGUAACUGAUAUCAAUUUUUUUUUUAAUUUAUUAGGAUUAAGAAAAAAUUGAAUGAAUUUUAAUUAUAUUUGUUUGAAAGUUUAGUAGCGGUUAUUUUUUAAAAUAUUUUUUAUUAAAAAAUAUAUUGAAAUAAUUUUUUACUAUUUUAACAUUAAUAAAUCAAAAUAAUAUAAAAACACCAAAAUAUAUAUAUAUAUAUAUAUAAAUUUUAAUGAGAGGAUUAUAGAUUAUAUAAAAUUAAAAUCAUGUUUGCUUUUUUUUGAAGUGUUUAGGAAUAUGAUGCAAACCACAUUCCCUCAAAUUUUGAAAAAAAAAUUAUUUAAAUUUUUUUUUAUGUUUUCAAAUCGUUUUAAUAUGUUAAUGUUAAAAAUAAUUUUUAAAAAAUAAAAAAAAUAAAUAAAACGCAACCGUCUCUUUAAAUUGAGUAGGUAACCUUCGAUUUAUGCUUCGGUUAAUGUAGAUCUUGUAAGAAACCCAUCCAGUCGAAGCUAUUUGCUUAUUAGUCUAAAAGAGAUCUUUGAAUUCGUUAUUUAGUUUUAGGUUAUCAGACUGGUGAGAUUCUAAAUGUUGCACUGCUAAAUAUCAGCAAGUUGGGAAAUGAAGGCAAACCUCAAGAAUCGAAGAUAUGUUUACCAUCGAGAUCGAGCUUAAUCCAUGCAAAUGGACUCCACCAUCGCUGCUUUGUUAACUCUUCAUAACUGAUAAUUUGCUGGGUUUUAUUUUAAUUUUUAUCAGUCGCUUAAUUUUAACGUCACUGCUUCAAUUCACUCUGUCAAAAGCGCCGGUAAGUAAAAAAAUUAAAAAACUAAUUAAACCGAAAAAACCAGAAAAAAAUAAUUGAGAAAACCAAACAAAAAAAACCCGAUUAAAAUAUUAAAAAACUGGCUGGUUUGGUUCGGUUUUGAUUUUAUAAAUAAAAAACUAAAAAAACCUAACCGAACCGAAAAUUGAGUUAAACUGAGUCAAAACCAAUCCAAAUUAGAAAAAUCAAGCUAAAAUCAACCUAAACUAAAAAAAAAAACCAAUAAAUAAAGUACAAAAAUAAAAGUAAGUUGAAAUGACAACUUUUUAUUUAAAAAGAAAAAACUUUUCCUUUUCACGUUACUUUGUUUCAGGCUACCAUAUGCUCUAUAAAAGCACCCACUAGCGAUUGUUUCUCAACUUUUUUUUAAGAAUCUAUUCACUUUUUUUUAUUGUGAGAGAUUAGCAGAGGUUCAAUGGCCAAGUAACAAGUGUUCCUUUGGGCUCAAACAACCUCCCUUCCCCCUUUACUUUUUUUUUUUUUUAAUAUUAAUUUUGAUUUUGAUUUUUAAUUUCAAAGGAGUUUGUGUCACGCGUGAGAUAAUCCGUUGUUUCACCAGCGUAUGAUUUUCGGCAGACAGCUAGGAGGACACAAACCUCUCCCACACGGCAAGUGCAUGUAAAUUCCACAAGUGAACCCCGCAGCAUUAGAUAGUGAAGGUGGAAUUUAGUUGACUUUAAAAGGCUACUCAUCAAGUCAAGGUCGCACAUCCACUCUAUUUGCCAUGCAAUUUCUUGAAAUUAAUUUGCCAUUACAUUUCUUGAAUUAGGCGGCUUGACUUACAAGAGAAUUAUAAUGCAGUAGUUAUUUUUAAUUUUUUUUUAUUUGGAAAUAUAUUAAAUAAUGAUUUUUUAUUUUUAAUAUUAACAUAUCAAAAUAAUUUUGAAAUACUAAAAAAAAUUAAUUUGAAAUAAAUAAAAAAUAAAAAAAAUUAAUUUAUUUUAAAUAAAGAAAUAAUAGAAUAAAAAGGCUUCGAUUCUAGUAAGUUCUUGCUUGCAAGUCCUCUACCACACGCUCAUUUAGAUACUCAGUCACUUAUAUCCCAACUGGCAUUCAAGCCUAGUAAUUUGGUCUUCCAUCUACCAAUAUCGUGGUACUUUGCUUUAUAAAAAAGGCUAGCUGCCACAGUGAGUUUUGCACCACCCGACUCCAUUCUAAUUAAACAGAAAAGUAGCUGUCAUGAGAAUUCGAGGAAUGGCCUUACAGUUCACAAUAACAGGAGUAGUGUUGUUAGCAGCAGUGACAGCAGCAACAGGGUUUCCUAUAGCGAAGCCUGGAUGCCAAGAUAGGUGUGGGAAUGUUAGUAUCCCAUAUCCAUUUGGCACCAGAAAAGAUUGCUACCACGACCGGAGGUUCCUCAUAACUUGCAACCAUUCUUUCAACCCUCCAAAAGCGUUUUUAGAAAAUAGUAACUUAAGUGUCACAGAAAUAACCCUUGAUGGGAAGCUACGCCUCAUGCAAUAUAUAGCUAAGGACUGCUAUAAUCGGGCAGGUGCACGAAGAUCGAGAAACAUACCCCGGAUAAACCUACCCGUCCAAGGUCCAUACGUUUUUUCUGACACUGACAAUAUGUUCGUCGCUAUCUGCUGUGAUACUGUAGCUGAAAUGCAAGGUAGACGAGAAGACACGAAUGAUACAUACCUGGUAGGAUGCAUUUCCGAAUGUAGCAACAAAACAUUUGUACCAAACACGUGCUCCGGAAUCGGUUGCUGCCAAACCUCCAUUGCCAAAGGAAUUAAGUACUUCGACGUGCGCUUGUCUAGUUUGUAUAAUCAUACGGGAAUCUGGGAAUUCAAUCCUUGCAGCUUUGCCUUCAUGAUUGAAGAAAAGCAGUUCAGCUUUUUUCCAAGUAACCUGUCGGAUUUACAGGAAGUCAGCAAGCUUCCUAUUAUAGUGGAUUGGAGUAUUGGGCGCAAUAACUGCGAAACCUUGGAAAAGAAUAAGAUAUCGAAUGCAUGUCAAGGACAGAGCAAAUGUCAAGACCCUGAAAAUGGGUCUGGGUACAUUUGCAAAUGCUUAGAUGGCUAUCAAGGAAAUCCAUACCUCCCAAAUGGUUGCCGAAGUAUGCAUUUCUUUUUCUUAAUUUUAUCCCUUUUUUAUAACUUUUUACUUUCAUAAAGAGAAAUCCAUACCUCCCAAAUGGUUGCCGAAGUAUGCAUUUCUUUUUCUUAAUUUUAUCCCUUUUUUAUAACUUUUUACUUUCAUAAAGAGAAAGUUAAAUUACUUGUAAUUGAUUUCGAGGAGAUCCCUAAUCUGAUUUUUCGAGAUUGGAUUACUUGAAAUUAUGAGAAUUUACUUUAGUUUUACGUAAAGGCUUCUCUUUAUGAUGCUUCUGCAGACAUUAAUGAAUGUUCAGAUCCAAAAGUAGCCCACAAUUGCAGCCACGCAUGCAUCGACACCGAAGGGAAUUAUACAUGUUCUUGCCCCAAGGGGUACCAUGGAGAUGGGAGAAUAGAUGGAGAACGCUGCAUCCGCAAUCGAUCAUCAGUGAUUCAGGUCGCUGUCGGUAAGUUCGUAUAUCAUCCUCUUCAUUUUCAAUCCCGAUGUUCAUGUACAUACUAUUGUGUAUAGAUCUUUCAUGUGCCAUUAAACGUACCUGUUUGUUUCAGGAAUUUUCAUAUCUGCAAUGUACAUAAUUAAUGUACAUAUCUACGAAUUUUCAUAUCUGCAAUGUACAUAAUUAAUGUUUCAACAUCCUUGUACAUGUAGGAAUUGGAGUGGGACUGACAUCUUUGUUGAUGGGAAUUACUUGGCUGUACUGGGGAUACAAUAAAUGGAAGCUAAUUAAGCUCAAAGAGAAGUUCUUUAGGCAAAAUGGUGGUCUAAUGCUGGAGCAGCAGCUAUCAAGAAGGGAAGGAUCCGUUACAGAAACGGCAAAAAUCUUUUCAGCUGAAGAACUCGAGAAAGCCACGGACAAGUACCAUGAAAGCAGAAUUCUUGGCCGUGGAGGUUUUGGGACUGUUUACAAGGGAACUUUAACAGAUGGAAGAACUGUUGCAAUCAAGAAGUCCAAAACAAUCGAUCAUAGCCAGAUCGAGCAGUUUAUCAAUGAGGUGGUUGUUCUUUACCAAAUCAAUCACAGGAAUGUGGUGAAGCUUCUGGGAUGUUGCUUGGAGACAGAAGUCCCAUUACUAGUUUAUGAAUAUGUUGCAAACGGCACCCUCUAUGACCACAUUCACGACAUGAGUAAGGUGUCGGCCCUCACCUGGGAAAUCCGUUUAAAGAUAGCUUCUGAAACUGCAGGUGUUCUAUCAUAUUUGCAUUCCGCGGCUUCUGUGCCAAUCAUUCAUAGGGAUGUCAAGUCUACAAACAUACUCCUGGACAACAGUUACAAGGCAAAAGUGUCAGAUUUUGGCACUUCUAGGUUAAUUCCGUUGGAUCAAGUUGAAGUGUCAACAAUGGUGCAGGGUACUCUAGGAUACUUAGACCCUGAGUACUUGCACACAAGCCAACUGACGGACAAAAGUGAUGUUUACAGUUUUGGAGUGGUUCUUGUGGAACUACUAACUGGGAUGAAGGCAGUUUCCUUCCAUAAGCCUGAGGAGGAGAGGAGUUUAUCAGCGUAUUUUCUAUGCGCACUGAAAGAAGAUCGCCUGGUCCAUAUUCUUCAGGAUAGCAUGGUGAACCAGGAUAAUAUUAGGCAGCUGAAGGGAGUUGCCAACAUUGCAAAGAAGUGCUUAAGAGUAAAAGGAGAGGGAAGACCCAACAUGAAGAAGGUAGCAAUGGAAUUAGAGGGG
rnacentral:lncRNA from 1 species